CAGCUUGCUGAUAUGUAUCAAAGGUGGAAGGAAGGAGACUGACAGAAUGGGAGCAAGAGAGGAAAACAGGCUAAUCUUGGAGUCUGGACCUCUGUGAGAGAAAGGAGUCCUGAGUGGAGGGUACCUGAGCAACCUGAAGAGAAACUAGAUGAUGAUAUACCCUGCACGAAGAAGUGGAGGGCUAGGCAGGCAGAUUAUAGUUCAGAUCCAGAUGUUGAAUGGGAGAGCAGAUUUUGAACCGUCACUUUCCUCUGUAAGUCUUUGGCUUGGAUUAAAGUACGUCAAAGGUCCUUUGAUUUUGUGCUUGCCCUAAAUUUGAAUGAUUAGCUGCAGCCUUGCAUUUCACUUUGGAAAUUAAGGAAGGUGACCGGGACCAUGCUUUGGGUAAAGCAAUACAAGGGAGUGAUGCAGGAAUGCAAG
rnacentral:lncRNA from 1 species